UUCUACCUGGUGUCAAAGAUCCUUAAUAUACAAAGAUAAAGCAGGUCAGGCUUCUACAAUGGAAUGGAAUUGUACACAGUUCCUGCCUCCUAAAAGGGUGUGGUCAGAAUGCGCUGACGCGACAUUGUUGAUGGAAUGCCUCAAAGAUUCUUCAUUUUCGCGCCUUUCUCUUGACUGGAGCUAACCUGGGUGACUGAAUAUUGGAGAAAUGCGGUCUGAUUUCGAGUUGCUGCACAAGUAGAAGGACGCUACGGAUGGUGAGGAUGAACCCGCGCUGACAGGGAGGAAUGAAGUUGGGCCUGUGAUAUUCAGAGUAUAAGUCAAUACUAUAUUACAAUGCAUACAUUGUGUUCUGUAACUGUCACUGUGAAAGUCAAACUUUCCUCUGUAUGAAAAAAACCUAACACACUGAGAAGGAUUGCUACACAUUCUGUUCUCUAACAACCUGAAGGUCCAAGACUCAAUCCACUGAAGGCUCUCCAUAAGAUGUUGGAUCUGGUAUGUGCUUCGUGGUCCUAUAGGACGACGCCAUGGGCAGGGGUCAGAGAUGCGCCUGAGAAGUACUGUGCAUGCUGGUCAUAUCACUUCAAUCGUCAGACAACAAAGGGAUGAAGAGAUUCUACUCUCCCGCAUGCACACUAAUCUAUUGAUGAUGUUAGUUAAUUUAAAGACAAGUGCAGUAUUUAGUUUUGUAAAUGCUUAACUGUAAUCUAUGUAUAGGGUCAACACCUACCCAUAUUU